rnacentral:tRNA from 1 species
AGAAAGAUAAGCUAAGAAUAAGCUAAUGGGUUCAUACCUCAUAAAUGGGAACUUUAUCCCUCUCUCUA